AACGCACAUUGCGCCCCGUGGUAUUCCGCGGGGCAUGCCUGUUCGAGCGUCAUUUCAACCCAUCAAGCUUCGGCUUGGUCUUGGGGCCUGCGAUUCCGCAGCCUCUAAACCCAGUGGCGGUGCCUCCGAGCUCUAAGCGUAGUAAUUCUUCUCGCUAUAGGGUCUCGGUGGUGUCUUGCCAGUAACCCCCAAUUUUUUUUAAGGUUGACCUCGGAUCAGGUAGGGAUACCCGCUGAACUUAA
rnacentral:misc_RNA from 1 species